rnacentral:rRNA from 1 species
UACGUAGGGUGCAAGCGUUAAUCGGAAUACUGGGCGUAAAGCGUGCGCAGGCGGUUAUAUAAGACAGUUGUGAAAUCCCCGGGCUCAACCUGGGAACUGCAUCUGUGACUGUAUAGCUAGAGUACGGUAGAGGGGGGAUGGAAUUCCGCGUGUAGCAGUGAAAUGCGUAGAUAUGCGGAGGAACACCGAUGGCGAAGGCAAUCCCCCUGGACCUGUACUGACGCUCAUGCACGAAAGCGUGGGGAGCAAACAGG